CUUCAUAUUCAAAAUCAAUCUUCAAAACAUGUAAUUUUACAUAUGAAGAUAAAGAAACCAUAGUCAAUGCUCUUAGACGGUUGGACAUCAGAAGGGAUGAGAUGGGCGGAAUCAAUGCAAUGUCAAUGUGAUGAAUCAAUUCGAUGGAGAUCAUGGGAUGGAUCUAAGUGGUGGAGAGUAGCACUGUUCAUAUGGGCCGGGUAAAAAUCCGGUUAUACCGGAAUCCGGUUAUGGGUUUCGGCCCGGAAUAAACCCAGGUCGGAACCCGCAUCAUCAAACCCGGGCCCAUCCGGCCCGGAUACGGUUUGACAAACCGGGUACCGGGUUUUAACCCGAUACCCGAAUUUAAUAAAAUCCUUUAGAAACCCUAGCGCCCCCCCUCCCCCCAGCGGCUGAAACUCAGACUCUCUUUCUCUCUAUCUCUCUUGCGCCCCCCCUCCCCCGAAUCUCACUCAUCUCUCUCUCUCUCACUCUCAGAAAUAGCAUUCAAGAACAACAUCCUUUCUCUUUUUUCUUAGAUGGCCACGAAGUUCUUCUCUCGGGGCUCGCCGAAGGUAUUAUUUCCGUUUUCUUCAUCCUAUUUCUUGGGCUCGAAGGUCUUCUCUCCCCCUCUCUCUCUAUCACAAACGAAACCCUAGCCAGUGGCCACAAAGGUUUGUUCUCUACAAUUUGGUUCUGUUUUAUUCCGAUUUGGGUCUGUGUAGCUUUUGUUCUCUGCUACGGAUUGUGUAGCUUUUGUUUAGGUCAGAUUUGUUGCAUCCUUCUUCACAUCUUUUAGGGUUUUUUUCUUUUAUUACUUUUUUGAUUUGGGUCUGUUGUGAUGAGAAUGUACACUCUCUCACCGAUGGCUUGUGGAAGCUCAGCUUUGACAUCCAUAUGCCAUAUGACAUCCAUCCGAGCCUUCUAGACCCGCCAAAGUCCAGUAACUUCAUGUGUACGAGUUCAACAAGCGCGAUAGUGGAAGCCCUGACUACCUACGAUUGAGGCAUAAAUCGGUCAAUGCCCUCAGCAAUGUAGUCCCUUUCAGUAACAAGGUAAUU